rnacentral:lncRNA from 1 species
UUAGUUCUCAUACUAACGACAUCAAGUUUGUUCACACUUCUCUUUACCAUUGCCUUUGGGUAGUCCUCUGGUCCACUGACAAUAGACUUGACCAUGUCACUUUCUUUGAUCAAUGAAACAGCAGCAAUGAGACACAAGCAAAGAAUUGAAAAGUGAUGGACCACUGGAACUUUUCUUCUUUUGCUGAUUUUGGAACCCUGCUGGAUAACAGACUGGCCCAGUCUACCCCUUCACCUCAGCUGUGACACCUACUUGACUGCAUCUGCUUGAUAAAUAAGAAGAACCAGCUGGUACCUGUAACGUAAAAGAACAGCAUGAAUACAGCAACAAAGCAAAUCAUGAUUCCGAAUGUCACAAUCAUCUUGGAUCUUCACAUUUGCAUCAAAAUGUUGGGGAUCUUUUUAUCUUCAUGUAACGAAGCCCUGGCUAGCCUAAUGGAGGAACCACCUGCAGCAGAAACAAGCCAUCCCAACGGAGGAUUCCUAAUGCCAAACAAGAAAGUUGCAACCAUCCUAAACUCUUCAGCCUCAGUCAAAUCACCAGCUGAUGGUAGAAA